CCUGUGGAGUCGCCGGGCGACGCUCGCGUCACUGGGGAUCGCGUGUCGAGUCACAGGCACCUUUCCGGACGGAGGGCCCGAAGCGGCGGCGGCGGCGGCGGCGGCCUCGGCUUUAGGAUUCCCACCUUCCCAUCUCUGCAGGUUCUUUCCGGGUCAGGUUACUCGUGGAAGCCCGAGAAAUUGCUGUUUAUGUAAAAUGUUGUGAAGGACAAAGUUUUGGAAACUCAAGCACUUGGGGAGAAAGAAGGAAAAAAAAACAAACGCCUUAAAACUCAAAUGGAGGAGAAAUCGUUUAUGGACUUGGCUCAUCCAUCAAGAAAUGAGCGAGGGUUCCUACGAAUGCGAGUGCUUUUCUUCUCCUUCGUGGUUAAUAAAAUCAAUAAGAAGAAAUAUUACUGUUUUUGAAAACAUACCUAAGUGGAUUGAUUCUACUUCUUUUUUAUGUUGUGGCCUUGGGAAAAAUUACUUCCUGUUUGAUAUUCAGACGGAAAGCUGAACCACAAUGGACAGAAACAUGGCCACUAUAACGCUUCCUGGGUAUUACUCAUUAAGUACUUGCAGCAAUCCUGCGGGAUGGAUUACUACUGCUAUCCUCAUUCUAUAGAUUGUUCCUCCAAGUUCCGCCUAUGUAGAAAUUCUAGAGCUGAGUCCAGUUCUCAAAAGGUCAUCUGGAUGAGAAUGAAAGCAACAGAGAUAUUGUGUUUUUUAUAAAUUGAAGGUUUGUGGCAACCUUACAUUGAGCAAGUCAAUCGGCACCAUUUUACCAUCCAGCGCAGAUGGUGGAAAUAUUUUUUAAUUGAGGCAUCAGAAAGCUUCAAGAAUUUGAGGCAAUUGUCCUUGAGAUUUUGGAACUUACAAAUUGGCAUGAGAAUUGAUGAAUGAAGAAAACAUGAAUGUGUGAAAAAAGAACAUAUCUGCAAGGAUAUGUAUCAGCUAAGCACCAUUCAGUUGCCCAGAUACAAAGGUGGGGAGUUGUGCUUCAUUACCACUGAGAUUUAGCCAGGUUGAUCCAGCAGAACAUUGAGUUUAAGUAACUUGCCCAAGGACACAGGGCUAGUAAACAACAGAGUUACCUACAGAUGAUCUGGGCAUAGAACACAAGUCAAGGACAAGGGCAGGACAUAGGGAAACUAUUCUGACUGGACAUCACCAUCUGUUGAAACUGUGUAAUGACACCUACUGAACCAUUCAAGGCACAGUCUAUGGUGUCUCCAUAAAUUACAAUAAAUAGGACACACUACACGUCACGCAAAUAUAAAAAAUAGCAUUGUUUUGACUCUUCAGAAUGGAUGAGGCAAGUCUGUUUUAGCUUCAGGUGGCCACUUGAUCACAGUGAUGGCCUUGUAAACAGAUUUUGAUAUGGCUGGAGCGAUCUGUGCAGCACUGCAGAGACCCUCAUGGAGUCCACCCAAGGGGAGGAGCCUGAGCAAGGACACUUGGCUAUGGCACAUCCACAACUGAGCCACGCCUAAACUUCAGGUUCAAGUUAUAUCUGUCUUCACACCUGGACCUGUUUGUGUGUCAUCCCUACCAGGAAAGGAGAUUGGAGAUAUGUGGCUGGCUCAGCUGUUGAAGACAGCUGUGAACUCAGCUCUAGUGGAACAAGUCUCAGAGCACAUGUAUCUUUAUUGCAGACAAGACCCAGACCAGACAAUGAAAGUACAUGGAAGGCGAUUGGUUGGUUUACUCACAGAAGCGAUGUUCUCAUUGGCUGGCAGUGCUUUUGGUGUAGCAAGGCCUGGAAAGAAAAGGUAAAGGAAGAAAAGAACAGGAAAAAGCAAUCCUAAAAGAGGCAGUGAGAAUUCCAUAAACAGGAGCUAAGAUGCCACGAAGUGGAGAGAAGAAACAUUUCCGAAGCAGAGUGUGACGUGGA